AGCGAACGCUGGCGGCAGGCUUAACACAUGCAAGUCGAGCGGGCGUAGCAAUACGUCAGCGGCAGACGGGUGAGUAACGCGUGGGAACGUACCUUUUGGUUCGGAACAACACAGGGAAACUUGUGCUAAUACCGGAUAAGCCCUUACGGGGAAAGAUUUAUCGCCGAAAGAUCGGCCCGCGUCUGAUUAGCUAGUUGGUGAGGUAAUGGCUCACCAAGGCGACGAUCAGUAGCUGGUCUGAGAGGAUGAUCAGCCACAUUGGGACUGAGACACGGCCCAAACUCCUACGGGAGGCAGCAGUGGGGAAUAUUGGACAAUGGGCGCAAGCCUGAUCCAGCCAUGCCGCGUGAGUGAUGAAGGCCCUAGGGUUGUAAAGCUCUUUUGUGCGGGAAGAUAAUGACGGUACCGCAAGAAUAAGCCCCGGCUAACUUCG
rnacentral:rRNA from 1 species